rnacentral:tRNA from 1 species
GCCUUUAUAGUUGAAUACAACAGUAGCUUUUCAGCCUACAAGUCUGAGUUAAAAUCUCAGUAAAUGCU